rnacentral:rRNA from 1 species
GGGGAAUUUUCCGCAAUGGGCGAAAGCCUGACGCAGCGACGCCGCGUGGGGGAUGAAGGCUUUCGAGUUGUAAACCCCUUUUCCCGGGGAUGAGAAAGGACAGUACCCGGGGAAUAAGGUUCGGCUAACUACGUGCCAGCAGCCGCGGUAACACGUAGGAACCGAGCGUUGUCCGGAUUUACUGGGCGUAAAGUGCGCGUAGGCGGUUCGUUAAGUCUCAUGUGAAAUCUCCCGGCUCAACUGGGAGGGGUCAUGGGAAACUGGCGGACUUGAGUGCAGCAGAGGAGAGCGGAAUUCCCGGAGUAGUGGUGGAAUGCGUAGAUACCGGGAGGAACACCAGAGGCGAAGGCGGCUCUCUGGGCUGUGUCUGACGCUGAGGCGCGAAAGCGUGGGUAGCAAACCGGAUUAGAUACCUGGGUAGUCCACGCCCUAAACGAUGGAUGCUAGGUAUGGGGGGUAUAGACCCCCUCCGUGCCGCAGCUAACGCAUUAAGCAUCCCGCCUGAGGAGUACGGCCGCAAGGCUAAAACUCAAAGGAAUUGACGGGGACCCGCACAAGCAGCGGAUCGUGUGGUUUAAUUCGAUGAUAAGCGAAGAACCUUACCAGGGCUUGAAAUGCGUCCGACCGGCUGGGAAACCAGCCCUUCUUUCGAGACGGUCGCACAGAUGUUGCAUGGCUGUCGUCAGCUCGUGUCGUGAGAUGUUGGGUUAAGUCCCGCAACGAGCGCAACCCCUGUCGCUAGUUAGGAUGUCUAGCGAGACUGCCCCCACUGGGGCGAGGAAGGUGGGGUCGAGGUCGAGUCAUCAUGGCUCUUACGUCCUGGGCUACACACACGAUACAAUGGCGGCGACAGAGGGUCGCGAAGGCGCAAGCCGGAGCCAAUCCCACAAACGCCGCCCCAGUUGGAAUUGCAGGCUGCAACCCGCCUGCAUGAACGCGGAGUAGCUAGUAACCGCAGGUCAGCACACUGCGGUGAAUACGUUCUCGGGUCUUGUACACACCGCCCGU